rnacentral:rRNA from 1 species
UACGUAGGGUGCGAGCGUUGUCCGGAAUUAUUGGGCGUAAAGGGCUCGUAGGCGGUCUGUUGCGUCAGGAGUGAAAACUCGGGGCUUAACCCCGAGCCUGCUUCUGAUACGGGCAGACUAGAGUUCGGCAGGGGAGACUGGAAUUCCUGGUGUAGCGGUGAAAUGCGCAGAUAUCAGGAGGAACACCAGUGGCGAAGGCGAUCUUCUGGACGGAUACUGACGUUGAGGCGCGAAAGCUAGGGGAGCAAACAGG